rnacentral:tRNA from 2 species
GGGCCUGUAGCUCAUCUGGGAGAGCAUCCGUCUUGCACACGGAAGGUGGUCGGUUCGAGUCCGAUCAGGUCCA